UGGUGCAUGGCUGUCGUCAGCUCAUGCCGUAAGGUGUUGGGUUAAGUCUCGCAACGAGCGCAACCUCGUGUUUAGUUGCCACUAUGAGUUUGGAACCCUGAACAGACCGCCGGUGUUAUGCUAGUAUUCUACACAUGCGGAUAAUAUAGAAUCAAAAAAAUGCAUU
rnacentral:ncRNA from 1 species